rnacentral:hammerhead_ribozyme from 1 species
AUCUAACUGACGAGUGUCAAGUAGGACAAAACGUGCGUCCUGGAU